AGGGUUUGAUCAUGGCUCAGGACGAACGCUGGCGGCGCGCCUAACACAUGCAAGUCGAACGAGCGAGAGAGAGCUUGCUUUCUCGAGCGAGUGGCGAACGGGUGAGUAACGCGUGAGGAACCUGCCUCAAAGAGGGGGACAACAGUUGGAAACGACUGCUAAUACCGCAUAAGCCCACGGUGCCGCAUGGCACAGGGGGAAAAGGAGCAAUCCGCUUUGAGAUGGCCUCGCGUCCGAUUAGCUAGUUGGUGAGGUAAUGGCCCACCAAGGCGACGAUCGGUAGCCGGACUGAGAGGUUGAACGGCCACAUUGGGACUGAGACACGGCCCAGACUCCUACGGGAGGCAGCAGUGGGGAAUAUUGCACAAUGGAGGAAACCCUGAUGCAGCGACGUCGCGUGGAGGAAGAAGGUCUUCGGAUUGUAAACUCCUGUUGUUGAGGAAGAUAAUGACGGUACUCAACAAGGAAGUGACGGCUAACUACGUGCCAGCAGCCGCGGUAAAACGUAGGUCACAAGCGUUGUCCGGAAUUACUGGGUGUAAAGGGAGCGCAGGCGGGAAGGCAAGUUGGAAGUGAAAUCUAUGGGCUCAACCCAUAAACUGCUUUCAAAACUGUUUUUCUUGAGUAGUGCAGAGGUAGGUGGAAUUCCCGGUGUAGCGGUGGAAUGCGUAGAUAUCGGGAGGAACACCAGUGGCGAAGGCGGCCUACUGGGCACCAACUGACGCUGAGGCUCGAAAGUGUGGGUAGCAAACAGGAUUAGAUACCCUGGUAGUCCACACCGUAAACGAUGAUUACUAGGUGUUGGAGGAUUGACCCCUUCAGUGCCGCAGUUAACACAAUAAGUAAUCCACCUGGGGAGUACGACCGCAAGGUUGAAACUCAAAGGAAUUGACGGGGGCCCGCACAAGCAGUGGAGUAUGUGGUUUAAUUCGACGCAACGCGAAGAACCUUACCAAGUCUUGACAUCCCUUGACGAACAUAGAAAUAUGUUUUCUCUUCGGAGCAAGGAGACAGGUGGUGCAUGGUUGUCGUCAGCUCGUGUCGUGAGAUGUUGGGUUAAGUCCCGCAACGAGCGCAACCCUUAUGGUCAGUUACUACGCAAGAGGACUCUGGCCAGACUGCCGUUGGCAAAACGGAGGAAGGUGGGGAUGACGUCAAAUCAUCAUGCCCUUUAUGACUUGGGCUACACACGUACUACAAUGGCGUUAAACAAAGAGAAGCAAGACCGCGAGGUGGAGCAAAACUCAGAAACAACGUCCCAGUUCGGACUGCAGGCUGCAACUCGCCUGCACGAAGUCGGAAUUGCUAGUAAUCGCAGAUCAGCACGCUGCGGUGAAUACGUUCCCGGGCCUUGUACACACCGCCCGUCACACCAUGAGAGCCGGGGGGACCCGAAGUCGGUAGUCUAACCGC
rnacentral:rRNA from 1 species